AACGAACGCUGGCGGCAGGCUUAACACAUGCAAGUCGAACGGGUGUAGCAAUACAUCAGUGGCAGACGGGUGAGUAACACGUGGGAACCUUCCUAGGGGUACGGAACAACUCAGGGAAACUUGAGCUAAUACCGUAUACGUCCGUGAGGAGAAAGAUUUAUCGCCCUUAGACGGGCCCGCGUCGGAUUAGCUAGUUGGUGGGGUAACGGCCUACCAAGGCGACGAUCCGUAGCUGAUCUGAGAGGAUGAUCAGCCACACUGGGACUGAGACACGGCCCAGACUCCUACGGGAGGCAGCAGUGGGGAGUCUUGGACAAUGGGAGCAAGCCUGAUCCAGCCAUGCCGCGUGAGUGAAGAAGGCCUUCGGGUUGUAAAGCUCGUUUGCCAGGGACGAUAAUGACGGUACCUGGAGAAUAAGCCCCGGCAAACUUCGUGCCAGCCGCCGCCGUAA
rnacentral:rRNA from 1 species